rnacentral:snRNA from 1 species
AUCGCUUCUCGGCCUUUUGGCUAAGAUCAAGUGUAGUAUCUGUUCUUAUCAAUUUAAUAUCUGAUACGUUCUCUAUCCUAUAACAAAUGAAUCUAGUAACUACAGGAUGAAAUAAAAUUUUUUAAAUUAACAUAUAAUGUAUUACUUGCCCCCAGGGGUACAGGUCUGUGAAU